rnacentral:rRNA from 1 species
GAUGAACGCUGGCGGCGUGCCUAAUACAUGCAAGUCGAGCGAACAGAUGAGGAUCUUGCUCCUCUGACGUUAGCGGCGGACGGGUGAUUAACACGUGGAUAACCUACCUAUAAGACUGGGAUAACUUCGGGAAACCGGAUCUAAUACCGGAUAAUAUAUUGAACCGCAGGGGUCAAUAGUGAAAGACGGUUUUGCGGUCACGUAUAGAUGGAUCCGCGCCGCAUUAGCUAGUUGGUAAGGUAACGGCUUACCAAGGCAACGAUGCGUAGCUGACCUGAGAGGGUGAUCAGCCACACUGGAACUGAGACACGGCCCAGACUCCUACGGGAGGCAGCAGUAGGGAAUCUUGCGCAAAGGGGGCAAGCCUGACGGAGCCAUGCCGCGUGCGUGAAGAAGGUCUUCGGAUUGUAAACCGCUGUUAUUAGGGAAGAACACCUGUGGAAGAAACCCUGGGCGUGUUGACGGUACCGAAACAAAAAGCACCGGCUAACUACGUG